rnacentral:rRNA from 1 species
GACGAACGCUGGCGGCGUGCUUAACACAUGCAAGUCGAACGGUAAGGCCCUCCGGGGUACACGAGUGGCGAACGGGUGAGUAACACGUGGGUGAUCUGCCCUGCACUUCGGGAUAAGCCUGGGAAACUGGGUCUAAUACCGGAUAGGACCACUGCCUGCAUGGGUGGUGGUGGAAAGCUUUUGCGGUGUGGGAUGGGCCCGCGGCCUAUCAGCUUGUUGGUGGGGUGAUGGCCUACCAAGGCGACGACGGGUAGCCGGCCUGAGAGGGUGACCGGCCACACUGGGACUGAGAUACGGCUCAGACUCCUACGGGAGGCAGCAGUGGGGAAUAUUGCACAAUGGGCGCAAGCCUGAUGCAGCGACGCCGCGUGAGGGAUGACGGCCUUCGGGUUGUAAACCUCUUUCAGCACCGACGAAGCGCAAGUGACGGUAGGUGCAGAAGAAGGACCGGCCAACUACGUGCCAGCCGCCGCAGUAA